AAUCAACGCUGGCGGCGUGCCUCAGACAUGCAAGUCGAACGAUUAAAGCUCUCUUCGGAGAGUGCAUAAAGUGGCGCACGGGUGAGUAACACGUAAGUAAUCUACCUUCGAGUGGGGAAUAACGUCGGGAAACCGACGCUAAUACCGCAUAAUGCAGCGGCAUCGCAAGAUGACAGUUGUUAAAGAUUUAUCGCUUGAAGAGGAGCUUGCGGCAGAUUAGCUAGUUGGUAAGGUAAUGGCUUACCAAGGCUACGAUCUGUAUCCGGUCUAAGAGGACGGUCGGACACACUGACACUGAAUAACGGGUCAGACUCCUACGGGAGGCAGCAGUCGGGAAUUUUGGGCAAUGGGCGAAAGCCUGACCCAGCAACGCCGCGUGAAGGAUGAAGUAUUUCGGUAUGUAAACUUCGUAAG
rnacentral:rRNA from 1 species